UACGAAGGGGACUAGCGUUGUUCGGAAUCACGUGGCGUAAAGCGCACGUAGGCGGAUAUGUCAGUCAGGGGUGAAAUCCCGGGGCUUAACCUCGGAACUGCCUUUAUACAGCAUAUCUUGAGUCCGAUAGAGGUGGGUGGAAUUCCUAGUGUAGAGGUGAAAUUCGUAGAUAUUAGGAAGAACACCGGUGGCGAAGGCGGCCCACUGGAUCGGUACUGACGCUGAGGUGCGAAAGCGUGGGGAGCAAACAGGAUUGAGAUACCCGGAGGUAAG
rnacentral:rRNA from 1 species